CGCGAGCGGCCGGCGAGACGGAUCCGGGCGGAAUCGCGACGAAUUUGGGUGAAAAAGUGAGAGGGAGAACCAUGAAGAGGCAGCAACAGUAAUGAAAUAAGAGAGGAGGAGACGGUAUAUCAUCCGCGAGCGAGGCGGCAUAAAAAAUAACAGAUUGUAUAAUUGACGACACCAACAAAUUGAGAGAGAAAGGAGGGCUGGAAAAGGCAUCGAGUAUCACACAGACUCUAAAAUCAGAGUAUGAGAUCAACAACAACAUCCAAAAAUUGAGGAGAAGAAAAGGUUUAAGAAAGACAUUGGGCGACAAAAGAACCCUAAGGAUCAACUCAUAAUAUAUGAUAAAUCGAAACGGAAGAAGAUCUAUAGGAAAAGCAUCAGUCACAAAAUAAUCUUAGAAUCAACGUAUCAAAUCAACAAUUGACGACACCAAAAUUGAGAGAGAAGGAGAGGAGGAGGAGGCCUAGGAAGGCAUCAGGCACCGGCAAAGGAACCUUAAAGUCAACAGGUAGCUUACAGUUCAUUCCAGUCAACUGCUUGGUGAGCGAUAAAGUAUUAAUUUUUACGAGGUAACGGUUUUGAGAUUAGAGUGUAGAAAAUGUAGAUAUAGAUUUGUGUAGA